rnacentral:sRNA from 1 species
CCUCUCUUCCUCUCCUCUCCUCACUUCUCUUGCUUCCUUAUCUGUCAUUCCCGUUCUCCAAACAUAACGAAAUUUUUCUUCAGGCAAAAAAGCUAUAUUCCAAAACUAUAAAGGGUUCCAUCUGGGAGCAAGGCCACGACCAAAACACAACAGAAAAGGAAAAGAAAAGAUACGACCCUAUACUACACUCUACUAUACUAUACACCAUACAAGCAAUGGUCUACGUCCGCCAACAUAAUCUCGCCGCCCUGCGUGCGUACCGUUACGCGGGCGUCGACAAGUCUCUGGUGUCUCGCUACGUGCUGAAACCGUUCUAUACGCAUGUCGUCAUUAAGUGUUUUCCUAUGUCUAUGGCACCAAAUGCUAUCACGCUAACGGGCUUCUGUUUUGUUGUUAUCAACUUCCUGACUCUGCUAUGGUAUAACCCUACCCUAGACCAGGAUUGUCCGCCGUGGGUCUAUCUGAGCUGGGCGCUGGGGCUGUUUCUGUAUCAAACGUUUGAUGCAGUCGACGGGGCUCAAGCACGGAGAACCAGACAGAGUGGGCCUCUUGGUGAACUUUUCGAUCAUGGAGUUGAUGCGUGCAAUACCGCUCUGGAAGUCCUCAUCUUUGCCGGCGCCACAAACCUGGGACAGUCAUGGCUAACCGUAUUGACACUAUUUGCCUCCGCCCUAACCUUCUACGUCCAGACCUGGGACGAAUACUACACCCAAACGCUGACCCUAGGCAUAAUCUCCGGCCCCGUCGAGGGUAUCCUAACCUUAUGCACGGUCUACGCAACAACGGCCAUAAAAGGCGGCGCGAGCUUCUGGCACAAGCCCAUGCUGGCCACCCUAGGCGUCCCCAGCUCCGUCUCCCGCUUUCUCCCCGCCUCUCUCUGCAACCUCCCCUUCACCUCCUGGUACAUCAUCUACGGCGCCUUCGUCCUGCUCUUCAGCACCCUCUCCAGUAUCUUGAACGUCAUGCACGUCCGCCGCCAGCGGAAUCUGGACAUCUACAGACCCCUCCUGGGCCUGUUGCCGGCUGCGGCGAUGUGGGUGCUGGUGUUUUUAUACUUGCAUCUACGCCCCUUGGUGCGCGAGAGACAUCUCGUCCCCUUUGUGAUGUAUGUGGGGCUCAUCAAUGCGUAUUCUGUCGGGCAGAUGAUUAUUGCGCAUUUGGUGAAGAGGGAGUUUCCGUACCGGAAC